GGUAGAAUUCCAGGUGUAGCGGUGAAAUGCGUAGAGAUCUGGAGGAAUACCGAUGGCGAAGGUAGCCUUCUGGCAUCAUAUUGACACUGAGGUUCGAAAGUGUGGGUAGCAAACAGGAUUAGAUACCCUGGUAGUCCACGCCGUAAACGAUGUCUACUAGUCGUUGGGUCCCUUGAGGACUUAGUGACGCAGCUAACGCAAUAAGUAGACCGCCUGGGGAGUACGGCCGCAAGGUUAAAACUCAAAUGAAUUGACGGGGGCCCGCACAAGCGGUGGAGCAUGUGGUUUAAUUCGAUGCAACGCGAAGAACCUUACCUGGUCUUGACAUAUCUAGAAUCCUGCAGAGAUGCGGGAGUGCCUUCGGGAAUUAGAAUACAGGUGCUGCAUGGUCGACGCGGCCG
rnacentral:rRNA from 1 species